AUCACUUCUUGGCCUUUUGGCUAAGAUCAGGUUUAGUAUCUGUUCUUACCAGUUUAAUACAAUUGUGAAAAAUAAGGAGAAAUCCAUCAUCUCCAACAAUAGAUUUUUU
rnacentral:snRNA from 1 species